rnacentral:rRNA from 1 species
AUUGAACGCUGGCGGCAGGCCUAACACAUGCAAGUCGAGCGGAUGAAGGGAGCUUGCUCCUGGAUUCAGCGGCGGACGGGCGAGUAAUGCCUAGGAAUCUGCCUGGUAGCUGGGGAUAACGUCCGGAAACGGGCGCUAAUACCGCAUACGUCCUGAGGGCGAAAGGGGGGGAUCUUCGGACCUUACGCUAUUAGAUGAGCCUAGGUCGGAUUAGCUAGUUGGUGGGGUAAAGGCCUACCAAGGCGACGAUCCGUAACUGGUCUGAGAGGAUGAUCAGUCACACUGGAACUGAGGCACGGUCCAGACUCCUACGGGAGGCAGCAGUGGGGAAUAUUGGACAAUGGGCGAAAGCCUGAUCCAGCCAUGCCGCGUGUGUGAAGAAGGUCUUCGGAUUGUAAAGCACUUUUGGUUGGGAGGAAGAGCAGUAAGUUAAUACCUUGCUGUUUUGACGUUACCAACAGAAUAAGCACCGGCUAACUUCGUG